AACGAACGCUGGCGGCAUGCCUAACACAUGCAAGUCGAACGAGACCUUCGGGUCUAGUGGCGCACGGGUGCGUAACGCGUGGGAACCUGCCCUUAGGUUCGGAAUAACUCCCCGAAAGGGGUGCUAAUACCGGAUAAUGUCUUCGGACCAAAGAUUUAUCGCUUUUGGAUGGGCCCGCGUUGGAUUAGCUAGUUGGUAGGGUAAAAGCCUACCAAGGCGACGAUCCAUAGCUGGUCUGAGAGGAUGAUCAGCCACACUGGGACUGAGACACGGCCCAGACUCCUACGGGAGGCAGCAGUGGGGAAUAUUGGACAAUGGGCGAAAGCCUGAUCCAGCAAUGCCGCGUGAGUGAUGAAGGCCUUAGGGUUGUAAAGCUCUUUUACCCGGGAUGAUAAUGACAGUACCGGGUGAAUAAGCUCCGGCUAACUCCGUG
rnacentral:rRNA from 1 species